CAAAAUCUGAGGCUGAGCAGGAGAGGGAGACACCCAAGGUCAUCCCGGAGCUUUUCCAAGGGCUGGACACGGAAUCAACGCUCCGGAGCUUUUUUGGGAUAAACACGAGCUGGGGGAUGAGCUCAUCAUUUCUGGGACCCGGAGCAUCCCAAACAAGGUCAUUCCAAGGUCAUUCCCAGCAGGAAUCCACCAGGAGCCGCUGGCCCACGCUCAGGGAUCCACUCCGGCUCUGGAAAGGGAUUUUUAAGGUUAAACCCAAAAUAUUCCUCUUCGCUCUGAGCAUUGAAUCCAAAAGGGAAUGGGAGGAAACUGGGAGCAGCUGGACACUGAAGGGACUCAAGCCUUGUCCUCAAGCUCCUUGAGGAAUUCCGACGUCCGCGGUGGGGAUUGAUGGAUCCGCCAGCAUCCGGACAGGCUGAUUGAUGCAGGACCAACCAGUGACUCCCAACCCUUGGGAAUUCAUCAAGGAAAUCUGGGAAUUGCUCCAUAACCUCUUGGAGCCCGCAAUAAAAAAAAAAAUUAAUCACA